rnacentral:lncRNA from 1 species
ACAGACCCAAGCCUCACAUUCCCUCUUAAACUCCUGAGCAAUGACAAGACAUGUAAUCCCACUGUUCACUAAUGAAGUAAAUAAAAGGUGAAACACAGAACCACAUUUUCAAUCUGGAAAAGCCUGUGAAUAAAAAUGCCAAUUAGCAAUUUGAUGAACAUAAAAUUUAAAGACUAUUAACAAAACAGUUUGAAUGCAAAAUAAAAAGCUAAAAUUUGUUCUUAUAAGGAAAAAUAAAGUCCACUAAAACAUUUAUUAUAGAUAGCUAUAAUAAGAGAAAGACAUAAGAAGAGAAAGACAUUGAUAAUGAGGUCAAUGGAAGGUUUGAGGAUUUUUUAAAAUUUUGAAUCCUUCUGAGUUUUGUCUUUCUUAGCUUGUGUGUGAGAACAGUUAACUUCUACUCUCUUAGCAAAUUUAAAUUAUAUAAUACAGUGUUAUCAAUUGUAGUCACAUUUUACACUGGAUCCUCAGACUUUAUUCAUCUUACAAGUGAAAGUUUGUAAUCUUUUAGCAAUCUCUCCCUAUUUUCCCAAUCGCCCCAGCCUGGAAACUGCUUUUCUACACUGUUUCUAUCCUUUGCUCUUAACCUCUAAUUGGAAGACAUAUGAUUUGCAAAUAUUUUCUCCCAUUUGGUUGGUUGCCUUUUCAUUUUGUUCACAGUUUCUUUUGCUGUGCAGAAGCAUUUUAGGUUGAUGUUCCACUUUUUUAUUUUUGCUUUUGGUGUCAAAUCUGAAAAUCAUUGCCAAGACUAAUGUCAAGGAGCUUUUUCCUAUACAGUCUGGCUUUAUUUUGUUACCAUAGAAUGAAUCUUUGACCCUAUAUAACACUUUUGCAAAUGAGUUUGAUUUUUAACUCUGAAUCUAUAUGCAUAUUUAUUUAAAAUCCAUUAACGACAAUGGAUCAUUAAAAUCAACUCUCUAAAGAAAAGUCAAACAUAUUAAUAGUUUUGAAGAUUGUCAACUAAAUAUGCUCCCUUUUGAAAAAAAAAAAGAAGAGCAAACCCUAAGUAAAACAGCUUUUUUUUUUUUUUUUUCAGGCCACACCCAAGGCAUAUGGAGAUUCCCAGGCUAUGGCUGGAAUCCACGCUGUAGCUGCUCGCCUAUGCCACAGCAACACCAGAUCCCAGCUGCAUCUUUGACCUACAACCACAGCUCACAGUAACACCAGAUCCUUAACCCAUGGAUAGAGUCCAGGGAUCUAACCCGCAUCCUCAUAGAUACUAUUCAGGUUUGUUUCUGCUGAGCCACGAUGGGAACUCCCUAAAAUAACAUUUUUAAAGUAACUUCUCCAUUGUCAAUAAAUAUUUCAACCCAUGAAACGUGGCUUCUUGCCAUCAAACUUUGAAAUGAUGAUGACGAUAAUAAUGAAAACAAAAAGAAAACAAAGCUAAGGAUAUUUCACUUGUUGAAUAUCACUUAAGUUAUUGUGCAGACCACUUUCUGAAAUACAUAUUUAGAGUUAAGACACUGAAACAUGUAACAGUUAUUAAUUCUUAACAGACAGAUGUUUAAAAAUAUUUAUUAAAAGAACUACAAAUUCCAAUUGUUUCCUAGAAAUUUCUUUUACAUAUAAUUGGCCAAAUAAAUAAAUUUAACAUCAUCCUAGGUUUGAAUGUGUAUCUUUUAGUGGCCCAAAGAUUAAACAAAUAUUUUAAAACCCAGAGAUAAUACGGAUCUAAUUUAUGAUUUACUGUCUUGCAACUAUGUAGUAUAGAUAACAUGCAGAAUACACCUUUUUCAAAACUAAGAAAAUUCCAUGGAUGUGAUCUGUAAUGGUUAGUUACUUUAUUUCUUUUUUUUUUUAGGGCCGCAUCUGCCACGUAUAGAGGUUCCCAGGCCAGGAGUCUAAUCAGAGAUACAGCUGCUGGCCUAUGCCACAGCCACAGUAAUACAGGAUCCGAGCCAUGUCUGCAACCUACACCACAGGUCAUGGCAACGCCAGAUCCUUAACCCACUGAGCGAGGCUAAGGAUCAACCCCGCAACCUCAAACCUGCAACCUCAUGGUUCCUAGUCGGAUUCAUUCCCGCUGAGCCAUAAUGGGAACUCCCUGUAAUGGUUACUUUUAUUUAAAUUGAAAGCCAAAGGCAUUCAUGUGCUUCUUCAAGCCAACAUUGCUUUGAUAAGACAAAAAGAAAUAAUUAUCAAAAUGCAGCUCCUUAAGUAAGUGCUUGAUUUCACACUUUCAAAGUGUGCUACCAUUCCAGUAAAGCCAGAAAGAAUUGAGAGAUUAAGAAAGUGUUUAAAGGUGUUUAUUAAAAAUAAUUAUAAAAAUGUGAAAAGACAUAGCACUGAGCAUGCCAAAUAGAAUAAAACUGUCAUCAAAAAGACUCAACAGCUAUGAAAGGAGUUCUUCAAAACACACCAUGUUUUUUUCUAGAUAACAAAAUCUAUCAAUUCCAAAUGUCUACAUUAGUCAUGCAUAAAGGCACCAGGGAUUCACAGAAAACAAACUAACCUAUCCCAAGUCAUCCUUGCUUUUUAUCAUAUCCACCGUAAAAGCUAGAAAAAAAUCUACUUCUUGAGAAUUUAAUCCCUUUUUUUUUGGCAAGCGCAAAGUCUUUAUUAAAGGAAAGCAAAUAGUUCCCAGGGCUGCUGGGAAGGGGGAGAAGAGCCCCCUUUCUCUAUAGUCCUAUAGGGGUUUUUAUUCCUUAAAGAUGAGGGGGUACCAACCUGGGGUCCAGAAAGAUGUGAUUUUCUCCCACUGGCCUUGCACAGUUACCUCUGUCAGUCCUUAUCCAAUAGGGUCUUAGGGGUGGAAAUGUCCCAUAAAUCUCAUAGUUUCUUUGCCACCCCCCCACCCCCGUAAACAGAGUCACAAGGGAUUAGGGAUUAAUGUCCAUCUACACUCCCUAUAGUAAACAAGGCCUGUGGGGAUGUUACUCCCUGGAGCCUUUAAGCCACAAAUGUUAAUCAAUGGCCAUAUAUAUCAAAGAAUGCAUCAAAGCCCAUCCUCCUAUACUGACUACCUGAGUUAAUAUUCUGCCUCAAUCCCCCUCUAGAGUUGGAGACCCUAACUGGGGAAAAGGGACGACAACUGCUGUUUCCUGCUGAAUAGGCCGUUGUUAGGGGAGAGCAGUUAGGUCUCCAGUCAUGGGACGGUUGAGUGGGCUUUGAAACAUUACAUCGAGUACCCCUUCCAUCACCAUUUGAAGGUGAUAGCUUUUAAUCAGGAUGUAAUGAAGUGAGAAUUGAGAAUUUAAUUCUAAGUGAAGUUUUAGUUCUCAGUGAAGUAUUUGGUCAUAAGAUGUUUUGCAGAACAAGAACACGAUAACUGUUUUGUUAAGUGGAAGUUUUUUUGGUCACAUAAAUUUUUAUUCUGCCAUUUUUUACUUUAUUCCUUUUUUAUUACCUUGUUUUAAAAAUUACAUAAAGGAAGUUCCCACUGUGGCUGAGUGGUAAUGAGCCCAACUAGUAUCCAUGAGGAUGCGGUUUCCAUCCCUUGCCCUGCUAUCUGACGUUGCUGUGGCUGUGCAGUAGGCCUACAGCUGUAGCUCUGAUUUGACCCCUAGCCUGGGAACUUCCAUAUGCCUCUUGUGUGGCCCUAAAAAGAAAAAAAAAAAAAAAGUAUUGCAUAUUAAGUUGGGAAACAAUACAAGACAUAUAAAGAAAAGGUUAACAAUUUCUUCCUCCUCUGAAAUCUCUAAGAAACACACUAACAGUCUGAUGUGUUUUCAUCUACAUGUUUUCCCUGCUCAUAAAUACCUACAAACAUAUUUGUAUGUGCAUUUUUUUUUUGUCUUUUUAGGGCUGUACCUGCAGAAUAUGGAGGUUCCCAGGCUAGGAGUUGAAUCAGAGAGCUGUAGCCACCAGCCUACACCACAGCCACAGUAAUGUGGCAUCCAGGCCACACCUGCGACCUACAUGACUACUCACGGCAAAGCUGGAUCCUUAACCCACUGAGCAAGGCCAGGGAUCAAACCUGAGUCCUCAUGGUUACUACUGAGCCACAACAGGAGCUCCUGUAUGUGCAUUUUGAUCUUCUCUUCUUGUUACACUUGAAUUUUUUUAAAACCAAAGCCAUAAUCUUGCAAUUUUCUUUUUUAAUUGGACUGUGUGUUCCUAACAAUGGUUUAGAUCAAUAUAGUUGAUGAUUAGCACAUUUGUUUUCAUAGCUACAUAGUAUCUAUAUUAUGGUUAUUCCAUCGUGUGUGUGAUAACAUCCCAAAUGAUCAUUUGGACCAUUCAAUUUGCAUCUUCUGAUCAGUAACGUUGAGAAAUAUUUUAUGCUUUACUGACCUCUUGGUAUAUCACUUUUAUGAAUUACUAUCAUUGUCUGUGAUGGCUAGUACUUGGUAUUGUUUGUCUUUUAAUUUUAGACAUUCUGGAGGACACGUAGUAAUAUCUCAUUUUGAAUUUAAUAUACAUUUCUCUGAAUCCUUAAGAUUUCAAGUACGUUUUCAUAAGUUUAUUGGUUAUCUUCUUUAUUUUGAAGACAAUUGUAUAUUGGUGUGUUGUCUUUUAUUGAAUUGGAAACAUUCUUUAAAUAUUUAGAUAUGAGGUCUUGAGUGGUUAUAUGUCAAAAUAUCUUCUUCUAUCUGUUGCCUUUUUAUUAUUCUAUAAGUAUCACUUGAUGAAAAUUAAGUAACUCAGUGUUAAUAUUAUCCAAUAUAUUAUGCUUUUCUUGUAGUGGUAGUGUUUCUUUGUGUCAGGUUUAAGAAUACUUUCUGUACUCCAAUAAUGUCUCUUAUAUUAUCUCCCAGAAAUGUUAUCUUCUUGAAUUUCACCUUUACAUCUUCACUCUAUCUGACACAGUACCUAUGGCAAGAGACGAGGAUAAAGCUUUGUUCUCCCCCCAUGCAGUUGUCCAAAUCACCCAUUUACUGGAAGAACAUCCUGUUCUCCCUAUACUGUGGGGCAGCACCUAGGUGUGGGUCUGUUUUGAGUCUCUGCAUGGUCUAUUUGUCCACAGGAGUACUAAUCCCUCAUUGUUUUCCUAACUGUAGCCUUUUACCUACUAGUCUUAAUAACUGGUAAAAUAAAUAUUCCUUCUUGCUCCUUAAUAUUGUAUAUAUUAUUAUGAGUACUUUUCAUGACCACACACAUUUGAGAGCUAGCUUCUCAGUUUUCACACAAU